UACGUAGUGGGCUAGCGUUGUUCGGAAUUACUGGGCGUAAAGCGCGCUUAGGCGGCUUUGUAAGUCAGAGGUGAAAGCCUGGAGCUCAACUCCAGAACUGCCUUUGAAACUACAUCGCUAGAAUCAUGGAGAGGUUAGUGGAAUUCCGAGUGUAGAGGUGAAAUUCGUAGAUAUUCGGAAGAACACCAGUGGCGAAGGCGACUAACUGGACAUGUAUUGACGCUGAGGUGCGAAAGCGUGGGGAGCAAACAGG
rnacentral:rRNA from 1 species